rnacentral:rRNA from 1 species
GUGCCAGCGCCGCGGUACUACCGGCAGCCCGAGUGAUGGCCGAUCUUAUUGGGCCUAAAGCGUCCGUAGCUGGCUGCGCAAGUCCGUCGGGAAAUCCACUCGCCCAACGAGUGGGCGUCCGGUGGAAACUCCACACCUUGGGACCGGAAGGCUCGAAGGGUACGGCCGGGGUAGGAGUGAAAUCCUGUAAUCCCGUCCGGACCACCGAUGGCGAAAGCACUUCGAGAAGACGGCUUCGACAGUGAGGGACGAAAGCUAGGGUCUCAAACCGGAUUAGAUACCCGAGUAGUCC